UUUUAGUAGAGACGGGGUUUCACCAUGUUGGCCAGGGUGGUCUCAAACUCCUGACCUCAAGUGAUCCGCCCGCCUCAGCCUCCCAAAGUGCUGGGAUUACAGGCAUGAGCCACCACACCGGCCCUCUUUUGCUGUUUCUGAACAGACUAUUCUUCCUGUCCUCUGUCACUUCCACUCAUUGAUACAUCUCAUGCCCUUUGUUAUUACAGAGGAAGUCAGGCACUUUGGUGACCUUGCCCUUCAAACCCCCCAAGACAAGCUGGUGUGCCCUGGUCUUUUCUACCUUCCCUUCUCUGGCAGAGAAUCUCCCCACCUUGUUUGGGGAGAAAGGUGUAAGGAGCAGAGGGCAGAGGCGAGGGGAGGACACACCACCAACUCGGACUGGCUCAC
rnacentral:lncRNA from 1 species